rnacentral:rRNA from 1 species
AGUGGCGGACGGGUGAGUAACACGUGGGUAACCUACCCAUCAGAGGGGGAUAACACUUGGAAACAGGUGCUAAUACCGCAUAACAGUUUAUGCCGCAUGGCAUAAGAGUGAAAGGCGCUUUCGGGUGUCGCUGAUGGAUGGACCCGCGGUGCAUUAGCUAGUUGGUGAGGUAACGGCUCACCAAGGCCACGAUGCAUAGCCGACCUGAGAGGGUGAUCGGCCACACUGGGACUGAGACACGGCCCAG